GUGAGUCAUCGAAUCUUUGAACGCACAUUGCGCCCCGUGGCAUUCCGCGGGGCAUGCCUGUCCGAGCGUCAUUUCAACCCUCAAGCCCCGCUUGGUGUUGGGCCCUGCCCGCGUGUGGCUGGCCCCAAAGUCAGUGGCGGCGCCGUCUGGCCCUGAGCGUAGUACAGCUCUCGCUCCAGGGCCUCUCGGUGGCCUGCCAGAACCCCCCCCGACUCUGUGGUUGACCUCGGAUCAGGUAGGGAUACCCGCUGAACUUAAGCAUAUCAAUAAGCGGAGGA
rnacentral:misc_RNA from 1 species